AGAACACUUUCAGAAAAAAAAACAUAAAUAAAUAGCAUUAUAUAAUUUUUGACUUGAUAUGAGUGGAACAGUAAGAUUUUUGUCACCCCAAGAUGCUGUUAAUGUCCUGAUGCGUAGCCGAGGGCAAUUGUAGUAUUAGAGGGGACAAGAGGUUUUCUAUUUCACGAAUAUUCAGUCAGUGAAUGUUUAAUCAUACCAAAAAAGAC
rnacentral:lncRNA from 1 species